rnacentral:lncRNA from 1 species
CAGGAGGACUUACAGAAAGGGCAGAGAAGAAGAGAAACAAAGUGAGGAAGAGAGAAAUUUAUCCUGGGGUCCAGAAGUUCGUGUUAACCUGUGAAAAAAAUCAAAUCCCUGGAAGUCUGCAGAGACAGAGACAAGAAGAGACGGGACGCCAGAAACUCCUCUCUCUCCCCACCUCUCUUUUCUAGCCCCCAAAUUCCUGGCCCCCUGUUCCCCAUUGUGAGGAUAAUAUGUUGUUCUUCGUUCUCCUGUUAAAGGUGACUUGGAUCCUGGCUGCAGAUGGGGUUUCUAGAUUUAAAUAGUACAAGUCAAUCUACAAGAGGACUACCUUUUCUCCUUGAAGCAAAGAGGGUACAGGCACCGGACUACCAGUCAUAGGCAGGUUCAUUCAGGUAUAGAGAGAUACCACCUCUCUAUACACGAAUACCAGAGAAGCGAGGACCCCAGUUCUUCAAGAAAGGGCUGAGUCUUUGGCCUUUCAAAGCUGUAGAUCAGGAGAUCCCUGUUUUAGUGUUUAGUUAUGAAGAAGCUGAGGACAAGCUCUGCCGCCCUUCGCCUCACACUGUCAUGUUCCCUCCCACAUAUACACCUUGUAGUUUUUCCCUCUAGGAAAAAAGGGCUGCUAAUAGGGUUUUAAUUAUUUUUUGCUCAAUAUAUGUUUGAAAAUUAAAAGGUUUUGACCUU